rnacentral:misc_RNA from 1 species
UUUCCGUAGGUGAACCUGCGGAAGGAUCAUUAUUGUAUAACCGAGGUGCGAGGGCUGUCGCUGACCCGCGAGGUCGUGCACGCCCGAGUGCCCUCACACACAUCCAUCUCACCCCUAUGUGCACCACCGCGUGGGUCCCCCUUUGGCUUGUUCGGAGGGGGGCUUACGUUUUCACACAAACUUUGUAUGCAGUGUAGAAUGUAUUUUUUGUUUUUGCGAUCACGCAAUCAAUACAACUUUCAACAACGGAUCUCUUGGCUCUC